rnacentral:rRNA from 1 species
CAUGCAUGUCUAAGUAUAAGCAAUUAUACCGCGAAACUGCGAAUGGCUCAUUAAAUCAGUUAUCGUUUAUUUGAUAGUACCUUACUACUUGGAUAACCGUGGUAAUUCUAGAGCUAAUACAUGCUAAAAACCCCGACUUCGGAAGGGGUGUAUUUAUUAGAUUAAAAACCAAUGCCCUUCGGGGCUCUCUGGUGAUUCAUAAUAACUUCUCGAAUCGCACGGCCUUGCGCCGGCGAUGGUUCAUUCAAAUUUCUGCCCUAUCAACUUUCGACGGCUGGGUCUUGGCCAGCCAUGGUGACAACGGGUAACGGAGGGUUAGGGCUCGACCCCGGAGAAGGAGCCUGAGAAACGGCUACUACAUCCAAGGAAGGCAGCAGGCGCGCAAAUUACCCAAUCCCGACUCGGGGAGGUAGUGACAAUAAAUACUGAUACAGGGCUCUUUUGGGUCUUGUAAUUGGAAUGAGUACAAUUUAAAUCCCUUAACGAGGAACAAUUGGAGGGCAAGUCUGGUGCCAGCAGCCGCGGUAAUUCCAGCUCCAAUAGCGUAUAUUAAAGUUGUUGCAGUUAAAAAGCUCGUAGUUGAACCUUGGGCCUGGCUGGCCGGUCCGCCUCACCGCGUGCACUGGUCCGGCCGGGCCUUUCCCUCUGGGGAACCGCAUGCCCUUCACUGGGUGUGUCGGGGAACCAGGACUUUUACUUUGAACAAAUUAGAUC